CCCCUUUUCCCUGUAUCACCUGCUAUAAUGAAUGCACUUCUGACCUCCCCCCAGUAUCUUUCCAGGACUCCAAGCCCCCUAGGAAGAUGAGACGGAGGCAAACAGAUCAGCAACAGUGGAAUAAGGGGAGCCAGAGUUGUCCCUGGUAGGGCAAGAGAUGGAAGAGGAGGUGGGCAGUGAAAGGAGCACCGGAUCAGGUAUCCAAAGAUGUACGACCCAGCCCAGAGUCCCACGUACCUGGAACUGCUUUAAGGGUUUCCUGAAAUAAGGUGCACAAGAGGCCUUGUAAAGGGUAAAGCCCUCUGCAGACAACCACUUUCUCCUACUUCACAGGACUAAUUGAGAUCUGCGAGAACUUAUUAACUACAGACCCGAGAGAGAAAACGGGCUUUGCAUUUUAUUCUGGCUUACACUACAAGUCUGCCUUGUAAUUUGUUGCCUUUGCUGUUCUAAUGCCUUCCCUCAAUGUCUGUCCUUGGAAGGGUUCCACAGUGACAAGAGAAAAACCCAACAAGAUACUACAGAGAGACUGUGAAGCCAGGCCAGGAAGAAUGAAAGAUGUGGUUCCAGAAGGCUCUAAAAUGAUGUCUGGAGAGGUGCUUCACAAGCCUAGGCCUGGGCAGGCCCCAAACCUAGUCUCUUGAGUGUUUCUAGGACAUCUGGGGCAGGACUAAGGAGGAGGUGUGGAAAAGGCAAGACCUGGAGUUCCCGUCGUGGCGCAGUGGUUAACGAAUCCGACUAGGAACCCUGAGGUUGCGGGUUCGGUCCCUGCCCUUGCUCAGUGGGUUGACGAUCCGGCGUUGCCGUGAGCUGUGGUGUAGGUUGCAGACACGGCUCGGAUCCCCCGUUGCUGUGGCUCUGGUGUAGGCCGGUGGCUGCAGCUCCGAUUCGAGCCCUAGCCUGGGAACCUCCAUAUGCCGCGGGAGCGGCCCAAGAAAUAGCAACAAAACAACAACAACAACAACAACAAAAAGAAAAGGCAAGACCUUCUUCCAGUCUUUGUUCAGCCGUCUCUGUCCAUAUGUGAGUGGGACACGUGCCCGUGAAGGAAGGCCCUAACUCAAUUCUACUGACAAGAACAGAAAACUGCAGGCAGUGAAAAGAUACCUGGGUUUCUACCCUAAAUGUUCCUACUUGGGGUGAUCUUCCGAGACCCUGAAUAGCAAGGUUUGUAGUCUUACAGUAUCUAGGUAAAAGGAGAUAAUUAACCGUCAGAAUAAAACAGUAAUCAGAGAAGUUUGAAUGAUUAUAUUCAGCAGAUGCGUAUACCCCUUCAGUCAAAAAAAACUGCCAUCUGCCCUUUCCCACUCCCGUACUGUUCUUUAAAACUACAGAUUAUCCACUAUGACCCUCCUACUGGAAACAGUCUUUUAUUUUACUAUUAAUUAUCCUUAUACACAUGUUUACCCAGAUUUCCACAUAAUGGUUAGGGGACCUAGAGUCCUGGUUUGGGUCCCUCUCUCCACUUAUUAGCCAGGUGACAUUCCCUAAGCCUCAGUCCCAACUUCAAAAUGUGGCUACUUGGAGUUCCCAUGGUGGCACAGUGGAAAAGAAUCCGACUAGGAACUAUGAGAUUGCAGGUUUGAUCCCUAGCCUCGCUCAGUGGGUUAAGGAUCCAGUGUUGCCAUGAGCUGUGGCGUAGGCUGGCAGCUAUAGCUCCGAUUAGACCCCUAGCCUGGGAACCUCCCUAUGCCGCAGGUGCGGCCCUAAAAGGACAAAAAGACAAAAAAAAAAAGGUUAUAAAAAACCCCCAAAAUGUGGCUACUACUACCUGCCUCACAUGGUUGUUUUAAGGAGUAAAUGAAGUAAUAACACAGAAUUGCUCAGCAUGGGGCUUGCAAAAUGGUAGCUCAACACAUUCUGUUCUGUUACCUUCAAGUUGCAUUAAAUCCUUUUGAGAGGAAGGCAAGAUUUUAAUAAGCAAGGAGCCCUUUAUCAUAAAUUCAUUCAAUUCAAUUUCAUCAUAUAUUCAAAAAAGUUAAAAUGCACAGGGAAAAAUCUUGGUCUGUUUACUGUUACACACAAGGUUAAGUGUUAAAUCAAGAGGAGUUCUUGCUUUGAAAGCACUUAUAAGCUAAGUUGAAACAAGAUCCUUAGGAGUUCUGUCGUGGCUCAGCAGUUAAUGAAUCUGAAUUCAUAGUAUCCAUGAGGAUGAAGGUUCGCUCAUCGGGUUAAGGAUCCGGCAUUUCUGUGAGCUGUGGUAUAGGCUGCACAAGUGGCUUGGAUCUGGCUUGCUGUGGCUGUGGUGUAGGCUGAUGGCUACAGCUCAGAUUUGACCCCGAGCCUGGGAAUCUCCAUAUGCUGCAGUUGCAGUCCUAAAAAGACAAAAAAUAAAAUAAAAUAAACAAGAUCCUUGGAACACAGAUGGGGUGGAACCUUAAAGACAGGUUCUUUUGCUUAAGACUGUAUUAGCAAUGCUUCUUACCAAUAACACAGUCCUUUCUCCUCCUUCUGAGAACAGACAACUUGAGGAAAACCCAGUCAGUACAGGCACACUCUGUUUUACUGUGUUUCACCUUUAUAAUGUGUUUCACAUGAUGCUUCACAGAUAAUGUGGUUUUUUGCUUUUGUUUUAUAAAUUAAAGGUCUGUGGCAACCC
rnacentral:lncRNA from 1 species